UAUAAAAAUAUGUUUUGUUAAAAUACUAUUGGAAUUCAUAAAUAAAUGGGAAGUUAAAAAAAGGUCACUUGGAGUUUUUUUUAUUAUUAUUAUCAUUAUUAUUUUGAUAUUAAUAAUUGCUACUGUGUUUCAGUUUCGGCCUUUUUCUCAAAAAAACAAAUACAGCACUAUUCAAAAAUGAAACAAAAAUUACAAAACAUGUUUCCGUUUUUUUUUUUUUGUUUUGGCACCACUUGAUACACACACACAUAUAUAUAUUAGGGCCUAAGCUAAAACGUUCUCAAAUUUUAUUUUAUCUUAUUUACCUGACCAAAUAAUAUAUAUUUGAUCUUACCUAUAUACGGAGUAUGUAUUUUUCUUUUUCUUUAUAUCUAAUUAUAUACUCCGUAUAUGUGUAUAUUAUUUCAUAAUUUUCCCUGCAACGCACAGUCACUGUAGAACGGAGAGAGGAAAGAGAAUUGUCUAGAGAGAGAUGAAGUCCAAUGACUACUACGCUGACUUGGAGGAGCAGCUAUGGACGUGGACGACGUCGACACCCUAGAGAUCUUUGGCGAGGGCGCUACUGCCGUCGACCACAAGCUCUCCGACGCCGGCUUCUUCAACUUCUUCGAGGACGACCUUGACAACUCCGAUGUCAACUGAAAACUCUCGCCACCGUCAUCAAUCCUUCUAUAUCUGGGUUUCAUUUGGUAAGAUUGUCUCUUCUGAUGCUUAUUUUGGCGGAACGAUGAGAAUGCAAUGUUUAUAUACCAUCUUUCUGUUAUGAAUCUAUGUGUGCUUGAAUAUAUAAAUGGUACAAAUUACUCUUAUUUUUUUAUUUUUUUAUCGUUGUUAUAUCAUUGUUCGUAUCAUUGAAUCUCUGGAAAUGGGGGAAUUUUAGGGUAUUCUGCUAUUUGUUCUUCUGUUAUUUAAGCUUCAGGCAUUUUAUGGCGAGAAUCUAUUAUCUAGGGUUUCUCAAAGAAUCAAUAAAUUAUAUAUUGACAACUGAUUUUAGUUUUGUAUGCAUCAUUUACAGUUUAAGAAUUUGGACAAUUACAGUGUCUUGCCCUAAAGUUUGCCAGAAUAACAUGUACCUGUCUCUCUAAGCAUAUCAGAGAAGAGAAGAUUCAAAGAUCUAAGCAUAUCAGAGAAGAGAAGAUUCAAAGAUCAACAGUGAAAGAAAUCGAUAACUAUGAAUUAGGGUAAUUGUAAAUUGAUUUUUAUUAGUGAUCAGCUUCAGUGAAAAGUGAAGUCACCAACACUUCACAUUUUACACAAAUAAAGGUGGCACUUAUGUUUGAAUUGAUAUUCAAAAUGUGUAUCAAACACACUUAAUUAGGUCAAUAUUAUUUUUGAACUGUGAAGAGAGAUCCCAAUUAUUUUGUCUGACCUCAGGGGAUGUCUUAUUUUGAUGUCACUUUCCCUUGAGAGCCUAGUUAUUUUGAUGGAUUAUGCUCCUCUAUUUAGGGAUGUAGAAUUUUCUCUUUCCAAGCUAUGCUUACUGUUCUUUUAGGAUUUCUAUCGAGAACAAUUGAACAACUUGAUAUAUAUUUUUCAACUGGGAUUUCUGUCAAGGUUUGAAGAUGAGGGCUUUAUCUUUUGCUAACAUUUGGUGAUGAACUGUGGAGGUGGUUCUAAGGUUACUUGCUGUUGAACUAAUUUAAGAUAUUGAGUGGUAGUAUGAUUUGGGAGGUGUGGGGAUGCUUUUUUUUUUUUUGGUUAAUAAUUGUUCGUUCCUCAUGUUUUACUAGGAUGGAAUUCAAAGCCAUGGUAAUGUGACGGGAAGCAUCAAUUGUUGCUUUGAUCUCUAAAUUGUCACGGAGUGCAAUAAUAUGUUGGUGGAUAAUGAACUUACCAAUAUAUAUAUAAUAUAAAUAUGCUUUGGGAAGCACAAGGAGAUGGAACAGGAGUCCCUUUGCAAUGGGUCACCUUCCAUUGUCUUAGGGAAUAUUAAUAGAAUAGGCAAGACUGCUUCAACCCCUUUAAAAGGUUGUCCUAACCCAUACCUCUUUUUUGUCCCUUGGCUGUCGGGACGGUUCCAUCCAUUUGGCUUCGUUGCUAAGAGGUAAGACCAUACUAUCUUCCCUUAAGAGCACUUUCUUGUAGCUAAGUUAGUUAAGGGUUAAGUGGGAACUCUACCGGUUUUGUUGACAUUGGGUCUUGCUCUUUUGCUAGCAUGUACCCCCCUUUGUUUCUGUAUAACCGUCUCCCCCAUCAGUUUCUAUUCAAAAGGGACCGUAAGAGGGACUACUUUUUCAAGAGGGACUACUUAUUGACUAUUUCAUAAUUUUCUCUGCAACGCACAGUCACUGUAGAAUGGAGAGAGGAAAGAGAAUUGUUUAGAGAGAGAUGAAGUCAAUGACUACUAUGCUGACAUGGAGGAGCAGCGAUGGACGUGGACAACGUCGACACCCUAGAGAUCUUCGGCGAGGACCCUACUGCCGUCGACCACAAGCUCUCCGACGCCGACUUCUUCGACUUCUUCGAGGACGACCUUGACAACUCCGAUGUCAACUGAAACCUCUUGCCACCGUCAUCAAUCCUUCUAUUUUUGGGGUUUCAUUUGGUAAGAUUGUCUCUUCUAAUGCUUAUUUUGGCGGAACAAUGAGAAUGCCAUGUUUAUAUGCCAUCUUCUGUUAUGAAUCUAUGUGUGCUUGAAUAUAUAAAUGGUACAAAUUACUCCUAUUUUAGAUGUUUAUUAGAUUUUUUUUUUUAUUUUUUAUUUUUUAUUUUUUAUUUAUAGUUGUUCGUAUCAUUGUUUGUAUCAUUGAAUGUCUGGAAAUGGGGGAAUUUUAGGGUAUUCUGCUAUUUGUUCUUCUGUUAUUUAAGCUUCAGGCAUUUUAUGGCGAGAACCUAUUAUCUAGGGUUUCUCAAAGAAUCAAUAAAUUAUACAUUGACAACUGAUUUUAGUUCUGUAUGCAUCACUUACAGUUUGAGAAUUCUGACAAUUACAGUGUCUUGCCCUAAAGUUUGCCAGAAUAACAUGGACCUGUCUCUCUAAGCAUAUCAGAGAUGAGAAGAUUCAAAGAUCAAAAGUGAAAGAAAUCGAUAACUAUGAAUGAGGGAUGGAAUUCAAAGCCCUGUUAAUGUGACAGGAAGCAUCAAUUGUUGCUUUGAUCUCUAAAUUGUCAUGGAGUGUAAAACAAGCUCGCCGAUGCCGACUUCUUCAAUUCCUUCGAGGACGACAUUGACGAUUCUGAUAUCAAUUGAAACUCACCGCCACCGUCAUCAAUCCUUCUAUUUCUAGGUUUUUUUUUUGGUAAGAUUGUCUCUUCUCAUGCUUAUUUUGAAGGAACAAUGAGAAUGCAAUGUUUAGAUAUGAUCUUCUGUUACGGAUCUACGUGCGCUUGAAUAUAUAAUUAAUACAAAUUACUCUUAUUUUA